rnacentral:lncRNA from 1 species
UAUCUUUAUUCUCAAUAAACCAUAUACAUAGGUAUAGAGAAGACAUGCAAUUAUGUACAAUAUUUACAACAAGACAGAGCAAACAAAAUAGUUGCUAAGAAAAUAUCUGAAGUCCAUUUUAGCCAGGAGCACAUACACCUGUGUUAAUAAUCUUUAUGAAUUUACAUAAUUUAAUCAAUACUGAUUUGCUUUUUGAAGACAUAAUCUGUUUGUAUUUGACAAUAUUUGCAUUUUGUAAAUAAUAAUGUGACAGA